GGGAUGGAAUAAUGGAAGAGGACCUCGGUUCUAUUCUGUUGGUCUUCGGAACACGAGGUAAUGAUUAAGAGGGACAGACGGGGGCAUUCGUAUUGCGACGCUAGAGGUGAAAUUCUUGGACCGUCGCAAGACGAACCGCUGCGAAAGCAUUUGCCAAGAAUGUUUUCAUUAAUCAAGAACGAAAGUUAGAGGUUCGAAGGCGAUCAGAUACCGCCCUAGUUCUAACCAUAAACGAUGCCAACCAGCGAUCCGCCUGAGUUCCUCAAAUGACUCGGCGGGAAGCUUCCGGGAAACCAAAGUCUCUGGGUUCCGGGGGAAGUAUGGUUGCAAAGCUGAAACUUAAAGGUAUUGACGGAAGGGCACCACCAGGUGUGGAGCCUGCGGCUUAAUUUGACCCAACACGGGAAAACUUACCCGGCCGGC
rnacentral:rRNA from 1 species